rnacentral:rRNA from 1 species
UUGCACGCUGGCGGCAUGCUUUACACAUGCCAGUCGAACGGUAACAGGCCUUCGGGUGCUGACGAGUGGCGAACGGGUGAGUAAUGCAUCGGAACGUACCCAGAGGUGGGGGAUAACGCAGCGAAAGCUGUGCUAAUACCGCAUGUGAUCUGAGGAUGAAAGCGGGGGACCGAGCAGCAAUGUUUGGCCUCGCGCCUUUGGAGCGGCCGAUGUCGGAUUAGCUAGUUGGUGGGGUAAAGGCCUACCAAGGCGACGAUCCGUAGCUGGUCUGAGAGGACGACCAGCCACACUGGGACUGAGACACGGCCCAGACUCCUACGGGAGGCAGCAGUGGGGAAUUUUGGACAAUGGGCGCAAGCCUGAUCCAGCAAUGCCGCGUGCGGGAAGAAGGCCUUCGGGUUGUAAACCGCUUUUGGCAGGAACGAAACGGUGUCCGCUAAUACCGGGCGCUAAUGACGGUACCUGCAGAAUAAGCACCGGCUAACUACGUG